rnacentral:tRNA from 1 species
GGGUGUAUAGUUUUAAUUAGAAUGACACUUUUGUAAAGUGUUGGAAUUGGUGUGUUUGAUUGCUCCCU